rnacentral:rRNA from 1 species
CCUACGGGGUGCUGCAGUAGGGAAUAUUGCUCAAUGGGGGAAACCCUGAAGCAGCGACGCCGCGUGAGUGAAGAAGUAUUUCGGUACGUAAAGCUCUAUCAGCAGGGAAGAAAAUGACGGUACCUGACUAAGAAGCCCCGGCUAACUACGUGCCAGCAGCCGCGGUAAGACGUAGGGGGCAAGCGUUAUCCGGAUUUACUGGGUGUAAAGGGAGCGUAGACGGCAGCGCAAGUCUGGAGUGAAAUCCCAUGGCUUAACCAUGGAACUGCUUUGGAAACUGUGCAGCUAGAGUGCAGGAGAGGUAAGCGGAAUUCCUAGUGUAGCGGUGAAAUGCGUAGAUAUUAGGAGGAACACCAGUGGCGAAGGCGGCUUACUGGACUGUAACUGACGUUGAGGCUCGAAAGCGUGGGGAGCAAACAGGAUUAGAUACCCGGGUAGUC